rnacentral:rRNA from 1 species
GUUGAACGCUGGCGGCAUGCUUUACACAUGCAAGUCGAACGGCAGCGCGGGGCAACCUGGCGGCGAGUGGCGAACGGGUGAGUAAUACAUCGGAACGUACCCAGAAGUGGGGGAUAACGUAGCGAAAGUUACGCUAAUACCGCAUACGUUCUACGGAAGAAAGUGGGGGACCUUCGGGCCUCAUGCUUUUGGAGCGGCCGAUGUCUGAUUAGCUAGUUGGUAUGGUAAAGGCCUACCAAGGCGACGAUCAGUAGCUGGUCUGAGAGGACGACCAGCCACACUGGGACUGAGACACGGCCCAGACUCCUACGGGAGGCAGCAGUGGGGAAUUUUGGACAAUGGGCGCAAGCCUGAUCCAGCAAUGCCGCGUGAGUGAAGAAGGCCUUCGGGUUGUAAAGCUCUUUUGUCAGGGAAGAAACGGUCGGGGUUAAUACCUCUGGCUAAUGACGGUACCUGAAGAAUAAGCACCGGCUAACUACGUGCCAGCAGCCGCAGUAACAC